CUAGGAGAGGUAGUUUGGUGAUGAUUGUGUUCAAGGAAAAGGACUACUUUAUCUGGUUCAUCAUGGUGUUUUCAGUUGUUUAAAAAAUAUCCCAUUGUGUACUAACUAAACACUAGUGAAACGGUAAAGUUUGCCUUUGAGUUUACUGGGUGUUACUAGGCUACAUGGACAUUUCCUACAAGCGUAAAACGUGGAGUACGGUAUGGGAUAAAAGUGUUUACUUAUUGGCACAUAUCAACCUACAUUCAUUCAGCCUACGUUUGGUUCGGGACGCAGUGUGAUGUAAAAUAACAAACGCUGCAACAGGAAGUGGGCUGGGAGCGGGGAGGCGUUCAAGUGCUGCACUCGUAAUUACAGUAAGUCCUGAGUUUGAUCUUAGCAAACUGCACGCUGUUUAGUUCUGCCGCUUCAUUAUUAUUAUAAUUUUUUUAUAUGGUGUAAUGAAACAGUGCUUCUACUUGUCAACAGCAUUGUACCAAACAUCGUUUUUAUAUUUGGCUAAGUUGGUUCAAAUGCGUAAUUCCACAAAUGAUACAUCAGAGAGUGCGAUGGAGACACUGGAAUGAGGGAUGGCAUGACAUUAUCACACAACAGGAGAAUAGGGCUCUCUAUCCACGGCCAUAAUUGGGCUAAAAUACUCUCAUCAGGGGGCAUAUCAGUGGACUGAGCCAGGACUCAUCUCAAAUCCCCUCUGUGUAAGUCCCCACACUGUCUCAGCAACUAUUCAUCAUUGCGCUUCCUUCACGCCUGGAAGGAGCGACUCAGAAGAAAGCAGAGUCUGCAUUACAGUCAUUCACCACUUUUAUGUGAAAAUAUUCCAAUCCCAAAAUAGAACAGAGAAGACGGGAACGUCUGCAUCAACACGAUAAUAAAAAGAAUGAAUAAAUUCAAUACCUAAAGGGAUCGUUUUUUUUAAUUAAUCUCCAAGUAGAGUGAAAGCCUGCAAGAAAGUAGGAGUGGCCGUGGUCCUCUUGGGUUUUUUCCCCAUCCAGAUCUCCACAAAGAGAACUCCCCCUCUACCCUCAACUAAAGCAGAAGACAGUAGUCAUGUGCACUGCUUGAAAGAAAGCAUACUGCAUUUUCCCUGAGCAAGGCAGUGAUGCUAGGGUCUUCUAUUCACCCCUCAGGUGUGUACAUAAAAGUUGGCAUGAUCAAGUUGUUAUUCCUGUCUCUCCAACAUGUGACUUCCUGGUGACUGUAGUUCAGCUCCCAAACACAGCACAUCAUUAACCCAGCUUUAAGUUGCUCAGGCUUCAUAACUCCACGACUCUCUUCUUGUUCGUACACUCCUCGCCUCUCCUGUCCUCUCCCUCUCUUCUCCUUCUCCUCUCCCUCUCCUCUCUUCUCUUCUCCUUCUCCUUCUCCUUCUCCUCUCCCUCUCCUCUCCUCUCCUUCUCCUCUUCUCGCUUCAGAUCUUAACCACCCCUAUUGCAUUCCAGAGGAUUUAUGAAAGCUUCAGGGCACGCUGACAGCAUUCCAAUCUCUUUCCCCUCUUCUCUAACCUCGACCAUUCUUUCUCCCUCCUCUCCUGUAAAGUUGAGCUGAUGAGUUAGACCUCGCUAUUGAUCCUUAAAUGGAUCUGGAGAAGAUGAAAAAGGCAACGGUGAUGGUCAAUUGCAUGGCUCAGCUAUUGGCAGUGUCCACUCCGAUUAGGGGCAUCAUAUGGACAUCCAAUCCACCUGUGGGCCGAUUUGUCAGAGGACUUUGAACAGUGUAUGUGCACCUUUUUCAUCUAGGGUAGCUGCAACCUCAUCUGAACUCACAUGGCCCUUUUGGACUCAGCUCAUCAUGGAGUUCUUUUCCAGAAUCUCUACAUCUCUGGAGAAGGGAACACUUCGGGGAGAUGAGAAACACUGUCCUCACAAACUUAUUUUCUGGCUUUUCCUCCCAAAGUUAUUAAAUGUAUAAUUUGUACUGUAUGGUUUUCUGUUAUUUACUGACACCUCAAGACAAGAUAAUGAACAUUUUAAUAAUUUAAGUCUCGGUAAAAGGCUUCAUGAUUAAUUCAGAGAUGAGUGGGUUGUAGAUAAUCAUUUGUAGUAGAGAGAGAACAACAUACACCAUCGAGCAACAUGGACUCCAUCCAGAUGCUUUUUUCUCCAAGCUGGUAAACAAAGUAAACUCUGCUAGCUAGGAGCUUGCUGUUGUUGUCCCAUUACUGUUGAAAGGGUCAGGAUACAGGUUAAGAUGAAGUCAAGAUUGAGGUGAGGUCUGCUUUGUCAAAAUAGACAUUUAGCGUUGCUUGAUAAAAUGAAGAUCAGGUUCUUUACUUUCCCAAAGAGGAUAACGUAAUGUCAGUGCCCGGAACAUAUCAGAUGGGAAUAUUUUGAUGUUUAAUCAGCGUUUGCAUUUCCUUUCAGUAGAAUGCAGAACGGUUUCCGUGGUGACUGGGGGAGUUGGCACGGCCCCAGCUCUACAGCUUGUAGGUGUUUUUAUGUGGGAGCUGCAUGAGGACAGAUCAAAUGUCAGCCAGAACACCCCUGACACACACAUGCACCCACCCACACUCACACAAAGUGGUGACGCACACACACACACAACCACACACACACGUACUGCUUAUAUCCACCCUAUCUCCACCAUCUGACAUCAAACGUGCCAACGGUGAUCAACACUACAUUAAAGCACAGCAGGGAACCUUUUUUUAUGUUCUAAGUUUGUGAUAACCCCGGCAGAUGUCAAACGGAUGCUACAUUCCUCUGCAUCCUAGCAGGCUGCAGUAUGGUCCUGGUCCUCCUACUUCCCAUAAUGCUGUGUUUUAUGACCACGGGUUGUUGGGGAGAUUGACCUAAGAAUGAGGAAUGGCAAAUCAAACAGAGAACUUAAACAGCACAGAUGCUUCACAGCACUGCCUGCAACUCAUCAGAAUACAUGCAGUCCAUGCAUGCUCGACGGCAGACCGUCCAUUGGGAAUGGACCACAAGUGUGAAGACUGACAAGGCCGAUCUGUCUGGGCAGGCAUUCACAGCUAUCAUGCAUGAUAUUGACCCAUGACUCCACUCCCCCACCCCCCACCCCCCAGGGCUCGAUGCGGCGAGGAGUUCUCAUGAAUAUUUUUGAACAUGUCAACAUAGGUAUCUUCAUGUGGCCUGGUGGUGCUGGCUCUGUAUUCCUCGCUGCCACAGGAGGGAGAGCUGGGCUGGCUCUCUGUCAGGACAUCUUUCACAUUGUUUGUCGUAUUUUUAACCCUGGUGCU